rnacentral:rRNA from 1 species
ACAGAGGUCUCAAGCGUUGUUCGGAUUCAUUGGGCGUAAAGGGUGCGUAGGUGGCGCCGUAAGUCAGGUGUGAAAUCUCGGGGCUCAACCCCGAAACUGCACUUGAUACUGCGGUGCUCGAGUACUGGAGAGGAGAUUGGAAUUUACGGUGUAGCAGUGAAAUGCGUAGAUAUCGUAAGGAAGACCAGUGGCGAAGGCGAAUCUCUGGACAGUUACUGACACUGAGGCACGAAGGCCAGGGGAGCAAACGGGA